rnacentral:rRNA from 1 species
GAUGAACGCUGGCUACAGGCUUAACACAUGCAAGUCGAGGGGAAACGACGGGGAAGCUUGCUUCCCCGGGCGUCGACCGGCGCACGGGUGAGUAACGCGUAUCCAACCUGCCUCUGACUGAGGGAUAACCAGUCGAAAGUCGGCCUAAUACCUCAUGGCAACGUCUGCGGGCAUCCAACGACGAUUAAAGAUUUCAUCGGUCAGGGAUGGAGAUGCGUCUGAUUAGCUUGUUGGCGGGGUAACGGCCCACCAAGGCUACGAUCAGUAGGGGUUCUGAGAGGAAGGUACCCUACAUUGGAACUGAGACACGGUCCAAACUCCUACGGGAGGCAGCAGUGAGGUAUACUGGUCAAUGGGCGGGAGCCUGACCCAGCCAAGUAGCGUGCAGGAUGCCGGCCCUAUGGGUUGUAAACUGCUUUUAUGCGGGGAUAAAGUGAGGGACGUGUCCUUCAUUGAAGGUACCGAAUGAAUAAGGACCGGCUAAUUCCGUG